rnacentral:tRNA from 1 species
UGGGAAAUAGCUCAGUGGUAGAGUGCAUGCUUAGCAUGCAUGAGGUCCUGGGUUCAGUUCCCAGUUCCUCCA